rnacentral:rRNA from 1 species
CCUACGGGAGGCUGCCGUGAGGAAUAUUGGUCAAUGGGCGCGAGCCUGAACCAGCCAAGUAGCGUGAAGGAUGACUGCCCUACGGGUUGUAAACUUCUUUUAUAAAGGAAUAAAGUGAUGCACGUGUGCCUUUUUGUAUGUACUUUAUGAAUAAGGAUCGUCUAACUCCGUGCCAGCAGCCGCGGUAAUACGGAGGAUCCGGGCGUUAUCCGGAUUUCUUGGGUUUAAAGGGAGCGUAGAUGGGUUGUUAAGUCAGGUGUGAAAGUUUGCGGCUCAACCGUAAAAUUGCAAUUGAUACUGGCAGUCUUGAGUACAGUCGAGGUAGGCGGAAUUCGUGGUGUAGCGGUGAAAUGCUUAGAUAUCACGAAGAACUCCGAUUGCGAAGGCAGCUUACUAAACUGCAACUGACACUGAGGCUCGAAAGUGUGGGUAUCAAACAGGAUUAGAUACCCCUGUAGUC